rnacentral:rRNA from 1 species
AUUGAACGCUGGCGGAAUGCUUUACACAUGCAAGUCGAGCGGCAGCGCGGCCUUCGGGCUGGCUGCGCGCGGCGAACGGGGGUGUGAUGCAUGGGAACAUGCCCAGUUGUGGGGGAUAACACUUUGAAAGAAGUGCUAAUACCGCAUACGUCCUGAGGGGGAAAGCGGGGGAGCGCAAGACCUCGCGCGCUUGGAGUGGCCGAUGUCAGAUUAGCUAGUUGGUGGGGUAAAGGCCUACCAAGCCGACGAUCUGUAGCUGGUCUGAGAGGAUGAUCAGCCACACUGGGACUGAGACACGGCCCAGACUCCUACGGGAGGCAGCAGUGGGGAAUGUUGGACAAUGGGGGCAACCCUGAUCCAGCCAUUCCGCGUGAGUGAAGAAGGCCUUCGGGUUGUAAAGCCCGUUCGGGAGGAACGAAACGGUGGGGUCUAACAUAGUCCGCUAAUGACGGUACCUGAAGAAGAAGCACCGGCUAACUACGUG